CCAAACUCAUACGGGAGCCAGCAUUGAGGAAUAUUCGUCAAUGGACGAGAGUCUGCACCAGCCAAGUACCGUGAACAAUGACUGCCCUAUAGGUAAUAAACUUCUCUUAUACGGGAAUAAAGUUAGCCACGAGAGGCUUGUUGUAAUUACCGUAUGAAUAAGGAUCGGCUAACUCCGCACCAGCAGCCGCGGUAAUACGGAGGAUCCGAGCGUCUCAGGAUUUAUGGGUAAAAGGGAGCGUAGGCGGGUCGUAUCUCAGUGAGAAAGUUGCGUCUCAUCCGUAAAAUUGCAGUUGAUACUCACGACCUAUGAGUGCAACAGACGUAGGCGGAAAUUCGGGGGUGAAGCGGAGAAAAGGCUAAGAUAUCUCGAAGAACUCGGAUUUCGAAGACAUGCUUACCGGAUUGCAACUGACUAGGAUGUUCGAAAGCUGGGGUAUCAAUCAGGAUUAGAUACCUAGAUAGUCCACACAGAAAAGGAAGAAUACUCGUCGUUGGCGAUAUACAGUCAGCGGUCCAGUGCAAGCACUAACUAUUACUCCUGAGGAGUACGCCCGCAACGGUGAAACUCAAAGGAAUGGACGGGGGCCAGCACAAGCGGAGGAACAUGAGGUCUUAUUUGAUGAUUCGCGAGGCACAUUACCCCGGUCUAAAAACCAUCUGACUGAACCGGAAACGGUUCGAUCAUGGGACAGCCCAGAAGGCGAUGUACGGCAGUCGUCAGUUCGGGCCGAGUGGGGCCGGUGUAAGAGUCACAACGAGCGCAAUCAUCAUCGCUAUCUAGUAGCAGAUCAUGGUGAGGACUGUACGGAGACCCCCCUCGUAUGAAGUGAGGAAGGAGGGGAUGAUGUCAAAUCAGCAUGGCCGGUAUCUCCGGGGCUACACACGGGUUACAAAGGGGGGUACAGAAGGCAGUUACACGGGGAGUCGGCGUUAAUCACGAAAGCCUCUCUCAGUUUGGACAGGAGUCUGCCACCGGUCUGCAGGAAAAGGUAUUCGUUAGUAAUCGAGCAUCAGGCACGGGGCGGGGAACCAGUUCUCGGCCCGAGCCCACAACGACCUUC
rnacentral:rRNA from 1 species